UUGAACGCUGGCGGCAUGCCUUACACAUGCAAGUCGAACGGUAGAGUAGCAAUACUCGAGAGUGGCGAACGGGUGAGUAAUAUAUCGGAACGUGCCCAGUCGUGGGGGAUAACGUAGAGAAAUUUACGCUAAUACCGCAUACGAUCUAAGGAUGAAAGCGGGGGAUCGCAAGACCUCGCGCGACUGGAGCGGCUGAUAUCAGAUUAGGUUGUUGGUGAGGUAAAAGCUCACCAAGCCGACGAUCUGUAGCUG
rnacentral:rRNA from 1 species